rnacentral:lncRNA from 1 species
GCGCCGAUGGGGAUCUCCAAAUAGAUCCGCUCAGCGCUGCGGUCGGCGUGCAUGACGUAGCCGCGCCGCAUGAAGUCGUACUGGAGGACUGAGAAGUAGCGCUUGAGGAAGGCCGCCAGCUCAGCACCGGUGCAGUGCGCGCCGUACUCGCCCGCCCGGUCCAGCGGGUUUGGAUCCUGCGCGCCAGCAACCUCUGUUUACAGUCAUGCCAGUCAAUUUGCAGGUACAUGCAGGGCCUUCAUACUGCUUCUUUCCUGUGUGAACGCCUAGUCACAUCAAGUCCAGGGAUGUGUGGACAAUACUAAACUUCUUAUGGGCCAGGGAUCGAGAGGAUCAAGGUCCCGCCAUACUUUGCUGACCGCGUUUUGGGAAUUCUGUCACAGUCUGGCUCGCAGAUUUUUCCUUUCCAGGUCCAAAAGGAGCAUAUAUCACCGGAAGUGCGUCCUGAGCAAGCAAGAAAGUCUAUUGUGACAAAGCCAGCCUGGCAGCUGCUGACCUGAGAGGAGGACGAGGAUGAGGAGUAGUGAGUGCGCAGGGAGAGGGAGCAGCGUCCCAGCUGCACGAUGCCACCGGCCCUCUCCGCGGAGGAGCGCCUGGCAUCCGGCGCUGGGGAGCGCCCCGGCUUGGCAUCCUGAUUGAAGGGGGACGUCGGCUGCGCCAGGGUUGGGCCGUACAUCAGUGCAAACAGUGCCGACUCUGCGCGCUCAAUGUUGCCCGCGCCCGCCUCUGCAGCACUAUGACCCCGUUACGUAAACGCUCCCAGAUUUGCAAGACAUUGGCUCACUUGGCGGCUGCCCAGCGAACAAGGGGUUGGCCUCCAAAACAGCAAAAUUCCCUCCAACACUUUAAACAGAUGAAACUUUCAUGGGAGUGAAGAUGCUAACUAUGAGAGGCAUCAUGCUGGCAGCAAUGAAGUGAGGGGGCAGAGUUUGAGGGGAAUGUAGGGAACUGACCCUUGCGGGCAUUCUCAAGGAUCCGGAUAUAUGCUUCGGAAGCAUGAGGGAUGCCGGCUGCUGGCUGGGCGGCUUCUGUAACAAGGCCAUGGCCCGAAUUGAGGAGGUCCUCCAGGCCAGAGAUCUGAACGCACCCCAGACACAGGCAAUGGUCAUGUCUCCCUCUUAGCAUGGAAGAUAGCAUGGGGCACCUUCCAGACAGGUCAUGUGACAGGUAGUGCUGCAGCAAUUGUACCAUUUAAAAUCAGUGGUGAAUUGAGCAUCAUCCACAGUACGGUAUCUAAGCGAUCGUUCAAGAUCGACGCACCUCAAAGUGUUCAGCCUCCCUAGCCAGCUCCCUCCGCUCUCUCGGAUCAGCUGGCAGGUCGCACUCAUCAUCCCGCAGGUAGUUUAAUAUAGUUCCAAAAUGCU